rnacentral:rRNA from 1 species
UGCCAGCCGCCGCGGUAAGACGGAGGUGGCAAACGCUGUUCGGAAUCACUGGGCUUAAAGGGCGUGUAGGCGGCCGAUCAAGUCGGGUGUGAAAUCCCUCGGCUCAACCGAGGAACUGCAUUCGAUACUGGUCAGCUAGAGUGCGAGAGGGGUGAGUGGAACUCCAGGUGUAGCGGUGAAAUGCGUAGAUAUCUGGAGGAACGCCGGUGGCGAAAGCGACUCACUGGCUCGCAACUGACGCUGAGGCGCGAAAGCUAGGGGAGCGAACGGGAUUAGAUA